AGAUGUUUGAGUUUUACAGAUAGAGAGACUAAGAUUUCAUGGGUGUGAAAUCCCUUGGCGAUUGUCAUCUGUGGCCAAGCCGAGUCUAAAAAUCUCACCUCCAAAUAGUCCAGAAACCUAUUUCUUAUGCCAUGUUGCCGAGAUGCCUGGAUGUCUCCGUAGUGGCGCUUGAAUUUGGUACCCUCAUUGACCAAGAGACUCUUGGUCCAGAACUUUUGUUUCCAGAGGUAUGUCCUGAACAUCACUGAUUCAAAUAAGGUCAUUUCCUCUUUGUGAGGCGCUGGAUCAUUGAAGACAGUGGAAGGGAUUAGGAGUCUGAAGGGUGGGAGAGAAGCUGCACUGAGGGGCCCGGUGUGGAAAGAAAAACCCGGCAACUGACGCUUCAGAGGGCGCAGCGCUGGCUGGUCCUGCUUCUCUUCAGCUGGGUGGGGCCCAGAGGAGCUGUGGCCAGAGGAGGCAGUGCGAUGCAGUUA
rnacentral:lncRNA from 1 species